rnacentral:sRNA from 1 species
UAGUACAACCUGGACAGUGCGACUGAUG